GUUUCAUCUUCAGGUGCAGUAAUUAGCGAAGCUCAUCGUGUCAACGCGAGCAGAGCCUCAAAACAAUCCAGAAACUCUUUUCCCCGGUGAGUUCCACAAAGAUUGUCGCUUCCGCUGAAGAUUUGUUGCUUUCCAAACAGCAACCGAAGCCUCACAGAGACCGAAGAGACGCGAGCUUCGUGCGAGGUGGUGUAUUUCACGGCGGUGUUCCCCUAUGUGGCGUUGGUCUACUACCUGAAUCCAGAUCCUUCUCGCCUGGUGAAUUUAACAGCAGCUCAAGAGUGGCUAGUCUGGCUGAGAGCUCCGGCGUGCGUUCAUUGUCCUCUGGCUGUUGGCAUGAUGCUCCUCCCUCAGCAGGGGGCCGCCUGCGUCUUCAUCCUGCUCAUUCUGUUGGGACUGGACACACUGGUCAUUUAGCUGACACUUUUUAUCCAAGGCGACUUGCAUUGCAUUUUUGCCCGGGGAGCAAUGUCUUGCUCAGGGACACUUCAACAUGGGACAUGGAGCAGCUGGGACUCAAACCCCCAACCUUGCAGUUCCUGGCGGCUAGAGUUAGGAGCACCCUCUCUGCUCCAUGCGCCAUGGUCGCCGUGCGCCAUGGUCGACCCCAGGGUUCCAUCAGCUUCAUCCCUCUCACUACUCCUCAGGUACGACACACGGACACAAACACACCAGAAAAAACUCUGAGGCUUAAGCGUCACUACAUGAACCGACCUCGUUGUCCAGGCAGGAGUGUACAUCUUCCAGCUGGUUGAUUACUAUGGUGCCAGUGGAACGUGUAUAUUAUUUGUGUCUGGCCAUUAGCAAGUCGUACCAAUAUCACGUUUAAACAAGUAUAUGUCCAAAAGCUGUUUACAAAAAAAGCAUUAACAAAGGCCAGAUUUUAACCCAUGAGGUUCUUCCAGGUGUUGAGCGGCUUCGUAGUAUUUUUCAUUUCUCUUUACCAGUUUUACCUUUUUAGUGUAGGUUUAAUAAUUGUACAAGGCAGUGUUGAGUAUGUGCAACGAUCAAAUAGACAAAUUACAUUUACAAUAAUUUGAGACCAGUCUGUUCCAAAAAACAAAACCAUGAUCUUCUUCCACGGUCUUUUAUUUGUAAAUAAUAAAAAUGAACUCUUGAAUAUAAAACAUACACAUCGGUAGAGCCACAUCUGUUGUACAAACAAGAACUGUUGCAGUGAAUACUUUAGUCUUUCAUCUAAAAUCGUGGUUAGGGAGUGGGCGGGGAGCCAUGGGCUGUAAACAAUCAGUAUUCCUGGAGUAAUACUGACAAAGGAAAGGGCGGUCGGCCGCGCCGCCGAGGGCUUUUCAACAGAAACUAUGUCCGAAAAGGUCAGAUUUCUCGUUGGCGUUAAAAGUCCAAGCGUACAUUGAUAGACGGGGAUUAACGAGAAGAAAAGUUAGUUCUAAUUGGUUUGGCUGUUUUUUUUUUUUGGCAAAAGAAAAUAACGGCCUGUUGAGCGCCCCCUUGUGGCCCGGUGCCGCUCAGCAGCUCGAGCACAUCCACAGGACGCAAAUUCCCCUCGACGAGACCAGGAAUGUUUGUGUGUCAGCGAUGUUUUGUUUAUAACUCGAGUUCAAGCCGCUUGUCCUGAUUUGUAUGUACAAGGUGUGCGUGACGCAUGUACGCUUUGAUACUCUUUAUGUUCAUAUAUCUAUAUAACUUCUGUCAACUCAUUAUACUUCAUAUACAUUUAGCUGUUAUACACACAUUCUCUAUCUGCCUCUAGCCCCGACUACGGUUUAGACACCCUCAAUGAUCAACCGGGGGGCUCCAGUACUACAGCACAGCACUGUUUGUCAAAAAAAGAAUUUCAUUUUUGUUCCAGAGACUUCCUAACAAGGAUAUUUAGACCCAGAGUGGAAGGAAUGGCCUGGGAGGAGUUUGGACCCCGUUCCCCCCUCUAUUGGUUCGCUCCUGUCGGGGGGGGGGCUUGGCUUUUCUCGGGUUUGUUUUCAUAUUCAGUACGAGCAAACUGUACAAGAACAUGCAACAUACAAGCUGGCCUAAAAGUAUGUGGGA